UAAUUAUAAAAAUAUCAAGUUUUAUUUUAUGUAGUCUCGCUUUUACCACUUAUUACAGAUAUCACCGUAGAGCACGUAUCUGACAGAUUUGUUUUUCUUAAUUACCAUUUGACUCAAAACACAGGAGCGUACCAUAUUUCUUUUUGGAGUGGGGUAUCAAACGAGAAAAUAUAGAAAGAAAAUGCACACUGCAGCAAUAAGUCUUAAUGGAAUAAUCUUAAAUGUUAUAUGGGGUUAGGAUUUAGUUUGUAUGCAUACAUUUAUGUUUAAAAGGACACUCCAUUGGCUAAAUAAAUAUAAUAGUUUAGUAUAUCAGUCCCCAAUAAAUACUUACAUGCAUUUUAUGUACGUUUUCAUUGGGGGUCUAUCCAAAGACAGCUUGCAAAAGCUGCAGAUCUCUUGUCUGCAGCCUUUGCAAUCCAGACUGUCCAAUAACAGACUUCCGAGUGCAGUUCAAUGUGAAGUCUUUGCAAGGCAGGUGCUGUUGUCGUCCUCCUGAGUUUAGCUUCACUGAGUUUAAACUACCAGGAAGUAACAGGACCGGCUGUCUGAUUGACAGCUCGGGGGGUGGGGGUGGGUGGAUGUAAAAAUAUUUACUUAUAACAUUUCUAUUAUCUUUUUGUUAAAUGAAAAAUAAGAAGACCCUUUAUUCACACUAAAAACACUUCAGAAAGUUUUAGGGGUCUGGA